UACGGAGGGUGCGAGCGUUGUCCGGAAUCACUGGGCGUAAAGGGCGCGUAGGCGGCAUGCCAAGCGUGUGGUGAAAGCCCGGGGCUCAACCCCGGGUCGGCCGUGCGGACUGGCGUGCUCGAGCACUGUAGGGGCGGGUGGAAUUCCGGGUGGUAGCGGUGGAAUGCGUAGAGGAUCCGGAAGAACACCGGUGGCGAAGGCGGCCCGACUGGGCAGGAA
rnacentral:rRNA from 1 species